UACAGAGGGUGCAAGCGUUGUCCGGAAUCACUGGGCGUAAGGGCGCGUAGGCGGCCCGAUAAGUAGGGGGUGAAAUCUUGCGGCUCAACCGCAAGGCUGCCUUCUAGACUGUCGGGCUUGAGCACAGUAGAGGCAGGUGGAAUUCCCGGUGUAGCGGUGGAAUGCGUAGAGAUCGGGAAGAACAUCGGUGGCGAAGGCGGCCUGCUGGGCUGUUGCUGACGCUGAGGCGCGACAGCGUGGGGAGCAAACAGG
rnacentral:rRNA from 1 species